CCCCCGCCGCUCAGCUGCAGCCGGAUAAACGCCUGGCUGACGACCCGCACCGGCGCUGCCGGCGCAUGGAGUUUCUUCGGCUCUUCCGGUCCUGUGGGAGAUGCUACAAUUCCAUCCAACUGCUUUUCUAAAGAAACUACUCAGAAAGAAUAUCAUUCAGUUUCACCUCACUCCUGAAUGUUGAAAGCAGCAAAAAACUGCAGACCCUCAAGCUGAACAAAGAGCUUAAAAACUCUAUAAAAGCCUGCAACAUAGGUGGAUCUAGGACCUUGAAAAAGUGGGGUUGGGCAGCAGAUGUGAUUGACACCACAGGGGUGACUGCAAACACUCAAACUCCAGCACCCCCACCUUGAUCUGCACCAUAGUUACCUCAAGCUGGAGCUACUGAACCAGGAACUGCAUGGUGCUCAGGUUGGAGCUGGGAGGCAUGCCAGCAGCUGCAGUUCCCUGUUGCCCUGAGCACUUGGAUCCUCUGUGGAGUCUCAGCAACAGGGACUGCACUGUGAUCAUGGGGGAGAUGGGGUUGAGGGAUAGCUGAGGCCUCAGUCCUGGUUCAGUGAAGACAGACAAGCAUUUCUGUGGCUCUGGUGACAGAAGAGGGUAGGGUGGGGAGGGGGUUGAGCCUAAUGCAGGAGAAUGGAAGGGCAAAUGUGUGUAGUGAUCACCAGGUUCCAUAAGUGACUGGUGGGGGAGCAUGGGAAGGGCAUGUGCCCCCCCUGAGAUUGGCCACCGCUGGCUUCUCCAGGCAGUUUUUGUUUGGCAUCUCCCCACACUGCUGCCACUGCCGGCUUCUGCGAGUGGUCGCCGUUUGUCACCCCCAUCCCUGCUGCUGCCGCUGGCUUCUGUGGGCAGUCACUGCUUGCCCCCCCGGGCUGCCACCACUGCUGCUGCCAGCUUAUGUGGGUGGUUGCUGCUCACCACCCUGCUGCUACCCACAAACUAUGUCCUCCCCAGUCUCAGAAGGCACCAGUCUCCCAUGCCAGGUUCAAUGAAGACAGUCGGGCAUAAAUGAGAAGAACUAAAUAUAACAACUGUAAAAGUUUGUUUGGCUGCAAGCUGAGUGGGUGAGCUGCACUCAAGAACUUUGCAAGAAAGGUGGCAAAACAUUUGCAGAGGGUGCAAUAGCUUUUCCAAGUAGAGGGGAUGCUGUGCACAAUGCAUGCUUCUUACUGGAGUGCUUGAACUAUGACCAGAGCUAGCCUUGCAAACUCAGAGCUCCGAUUGACUACUAUGAAGCCAUAAAAAGCUGGGGGAGGGAAAGCAGAUGGGGAGAAGCUAGAGGAGAGCAACGUCAGCCUGGAGCAAGGGGCCUAGAGACUCAGCCCUGCCUCCCCCUCAGGCAGAGGAAAUGGAGCUGAGGCUUGCUGGGAAGCAGAUAUCAGAAUGGAAGACAGCCUGAGACAUCCCAGGAGAAGCUGAUUCCUCACCUGGGUUGGAGCUGUGCAGCUAUGGACACAUGUACCCAGAGAAAGAGUGGCGAGGGGUUGGUAAUCUAGCUGGGAGGUUGGAGAAGCUGCCUGGUUGGGGGCCAGUGGAGAGAAGUUCUUUGUUUUGGCUGGAAAGGCUUGUACUGCAGGAACAGAGACCUACAGAGGGAAUUCCCUGUCUGCAUGUGGAGGUGCUGGGGGAGAGAGAGAGACCAGAGAGGGAGCAGGCUAUUAGAAUCCCAAAUCUGCAUGGGUAUGUGAGGGGACACUUAACCCCCAGUGUUUGCAGGAGGUGUAUCUUUCAGAAGGAAAUUAAAGAAAAGAAGCCUAUUACCUUCA